rnacentral:rRNA from 1 species
GGUUAAGUUAGAAAGGGCGCACGGUGGAUGCCUUGACACUAGGAGUCGAUGAAGGACGGGACUAACGCCGAUAUGCUUCGGGGAGCUGUAAGUAAGCUUUGAUCCGAAGAUUUCCGAAUGGGGAAACCCACCAUACGUAAUGGUAUGGUAUCCUUAUCUGAAUACAUAGGGUAAGGAAGACAGACCCAGGGAACUGAAACAUCUAAGUACCUGGAGGAAGAGAAAGCAAAUGCGAUUUCCUGAGUAGCGGCGAGCGAAACGGAACAUAGCCCAAACCAAGAGGCUUGCCUCUUGGGGUUGUAGGACAUUCUAUACGGAGUUACAAAGGAACGAGGUAGACGAAGCGACCUGGAAAGGUCCGUCGUAGAGGGUAACAACCCCGUAGUCGAAACUUCGUUCUCUCUUGAAUGUAUCCUGAGUACGGCGGAACACGUGAAAUUCCGUCGGAAUCUGGGAGGACCAUCUCCCAAGGCUAAAUACUCCCUAGUGAUCGAUAGUGAACCAGUACCGUGAGGGAAAGGUGAAAAGCACCCCGGAAGGGGAGUGAAAGAGAUCCUGAAACCGUGUGCCUACAAAUAGUCAGAGCCCGUUAACGGGUGAUGGCGUGCCUUUUGUAGAAUGAACCGGCGAGUUACGAUCCCGUGCGAGGUUAAGCUGAAGAGGCGGAGCCGCAGCGAAAGCGAGUCUGAAUAGGGCGUUUAGUACGUGGUCGUAGACCCGAAACCAGGUGAUCUACCCAUGUCCAGGGUGAAGUUCAGGUAACACUGAAUGGAGGCCCGAACCCACGCACGUUGAAAAGUGCGGGGAUGAGGUGUGGGUAGCGGAGAAAUUCCAAUCGAACCUGGAGAUAGCUGGUUCUCCCCGAAAUAGCUUUAGGGCUAGCCUUAAGUGUAAGAGUCUUGGAGGUAGAGCACUGAUUGGACUAGGGGUCCUCAUCGGAUUACCGAAUUCAGUCAAACUCCGAAUGCCAAUGACUUAUCCUUAGGAGUCAGACUGCGAGUGAUAAGAUCCGUAGUCAAAAGGGAAACAGCCCAGACCGCCAGCUAAGGUCCCAAAGUGUGUAUUAAGUGGAAAAGGAUGUGGAGUUGCUUAGACAACUAGGAUGUUGGCUUAGAAGCAGCCACCAUUUAAAGAGUGCGUAAUAGCUCACUAGUCGAGUGACUCUGCGCCGAAAAUGUACCGGGGCUAAAUACACCACCGAAGCUGCGGAUUGAUACCAAUGGUAUCAGUGGUAGGGGAGCGUUCUAAGGACAGUGAAGUCAGACCGUAAGGACUGGUGGAGUGCUUAGAAGUGAGAAUGCCGGUAUGAGUAGCGAAAGACGGGUGAGAAUCCCGUCCACCGAAUGCCUAAGGUUUCCUGAGGAAGGCUCGUCCGCUCAGGGUUAGUCAGGACCUAAGCCGAGGCCGACAGGCGUAGGCGAUGGACAACAGGUUGAUAUUCCUGUACCACCUCUUUAUCGUUUGAGCAAUGGAGGGACGCAGAAGGAUAGAAGAAGCGUGAUUGGUUGUGCACGUCCAAGCAGUUAGGCUGAUAAGUAGGCAAAUCCGCUUAUCAUAAAGGCUGAGCUGUGAUGGGGAAGCUCCUUAUGGAGCGAAGUCUUGAUUCCCCGCUGCCAAGAAAAGCUUCUAGCGAGAUAAAAGGUGCCUGUACCGCAAACCGACACAGGUAGGCGAGGAGAGAAUCCUAAGGUGUGCGAGAGAACUCUGGUUAAGGAACUCGGCAAAAUGACCCCGUAACUUCGGGAGAAGGGGUGCUUUCUUAACGGAAAGCCGCAGUGAAUAGGCCCAAGCGACUGUUUAGCAAAAACACAGCUCUCUGCGAAGCCGUAAGGCGAAGUAUAGGGGGUGACACCUGCCCGGUGCUGGAAGGUUAAGGAGAGGGGUUAGCGUAAGCGAAGCUCUGAACUGAAGCCCCAGUAAACGGCGGCCGUAACUAUAACGGUCCUAAGGUAGCGAAAUUCCUUGUCGGGUAAGUUCCGACCCGCACGAAAGGUGUAACGAUUUGGGCACUGUCUCAACCAGAGACUCGGUGAAAUUAUAGUACCUGUGAAGAUGCAGGUUACCCGCGACAGGACGGAAAGACCCCGUGGAGCUUUACUGUAGCCUGAUAUUGAAUUUUGGUACAGUUUGUACAGGAUAGGCGGGAGCCAUUGAAACCGGAGCGCUAGCUUCGGUGGAGGCGCUGGUGGGAUACCGCCCUGACUGUAUUGAAAUUCUAACCUACGGGUCUUAUCGACCCGGGAGACAGUGUCAGGUGGGCAGUUUGACUGGGGCGGUCGCCUCCUAAAGUGUAACGGAGGCGCCCAAAGGUUCCCUCAGAAUGGUUGGAAAUCAUUCGUAGAGUGCAAAGGCAUAAGGGAGCUUGACUGCGAGACCUACAAGUCGAGCAGGGACGAAAGUCGGGCUUAGUGAUCCGGUGGUUCCGCAUGGAAGGGCCAUCGCUCAACGGAUAAAAGCUACCCCGGGGAUAACAGGCUUAUCUCCCCCAAGAGUCCACAUCGACGGGGAGGUUUGGCACCUCGAUGUCGGCUCAUCGCAUCCUGGGGCUGUAGUCGGUCCCAAGGGUUGGGCUGUUCGCCCAUUAAAGCGGUACGCGAGCUGGGUUCAGAACGUCGUGAGACAGUUCGGUCCCUAUCCGUCGUGGGCGUAGGAAAUUUGAGAGGAGCUGUCCUUAGUACGAGAGGACCGGGAUGGACGCACCGCUGGUGUACCAGUUGUUCUGCCAAGGGCAUAGCUGGGUAGCUAUGUGCGGAAGGGAUAAGUGCUGAAAGCAUCUAAGCAUGAAGCCCCCCUCAAGAUGAGAUUUCCCAUAGCGUAAGCUAGUAAGAUCCCUGAAAGAUGAUCAGGUUGAUAGGUUCGAGGUGGAAGCAUGGUGACAUGUGGAGCUGACGAAUACUAAUAGAUCGAGGACUUAACCAU